GUCCAUCUGUCCUCCUCUGCUCCAUGGCCAGUCGACUUAUACAGCACACCAGUCAUAGAUUGGGAUGAAGCAUGGAAACCGCGGGAAGAGGCAGGCACUCAAAUCUGCCUCCACGGAUCUGGGGACUGCAGAUGUUGUCCUGGGACGGGUGUCGGAGGUGAGAGAUCUCCCUGAGGGCACGGCACCCGUGCAGAGGCCGACAAACUCUUCUCGCAGCUCGCCAUGUCCGGUGCCAAGAUCCAGUGGCUCAAGGACGCUCAGGGGUUGCCAGGACUUGACCUGCUUUUCAAAGAAGAUGUGUUGUUCCUGACUUUGGAAAUCUUUGAAAUAGACUGUUUUCUUGUUAUUUCCAAAGCUCUGACUGGUGAGAUGCUCUUUGAAACCUGGGGAAAAGAAGGAAAAAAGGGGAUCAGGGAACACCCUUCAGGAGGUGAAUGAGGAGAAAAAGUGGCCUUUUCCAAAAGUUGUGAUCCAAUACCCUUCAAUAGACUGUCAUCCCAAGGUCCCAUCAAGAUUACCAUUUUCUCAUCAUCAGAUUUCAUCAUUAUUGAAAGAAGAUCACUGGUCCAGAGUUAAGCAGAUACCCCACUUUAAUCAAGCUAGAACCAAGUUAUUACAACUUCCGAAUAGAAAGUUCAUUCCUGUACAACCCCAGAAAGACCAGAGAAAAACUCAACAGCUGUCUGCAUCUGGCAUUCAGAAAAUGUCUGACCUGUUACUGAUUCUUGACAAUUGGAAGAUGGCUAAAUCAACCAUACUCCAGAAUCGCCAUUAUAUGGCCACAGUUUUGCCUUCAAUAUACCAUGAGUACAAUGUUAAGGGAAUUUCAUUAUCUUUGCCAUCCCUAGAAUAAAAUGAGACACUUCUACUCA